AAAUUUACAACGUUGCAAAAGACUAGCUUUUGCAACUUUUUUUUACCGUUGCCAUAGAAUUUUUUUUUUUUUUUUACACACUUUAUGUAAAUUGACUUGCAAAAUUGAAAAUAACACGUUGUGAACAAAUUUUGGAAUUGCAUAAAAAUUAAUAAUUUCAUUAAAAAUUUUUGAAUCAAUACACUUGAAUAUUAAAAUGUGAUACAAUACCACCUAACUAAAAAGGAGUAGGGAUUAAAGAUGAUACAAAUUAAAAUGUUAUUAAUCCCUAGACAUCCCAAUGCAUAACCCACAAUCCACACCUUCAAUGGAGCAUGUGGAUGCUCAUGCUUUGACAAAGAUAAGACGUGGAUACUCUUGCCUUACAUGAUCAAGCACUUCAGGGGAGCAUGAUUUGAGAAGCUCAAGCACAUGCGGAUGACCGCUGCAAAUUUCCUCCACCAGACAAUUUAGAUCAUGAAUUAUCUGUUAAAAAAUUGUAAUUAUUAAAUAUAGCAUAGUAUAAACUUUUGUCACAAAUAGCAUAAAUCAUAAAAAAAAUGCCAUGUUCAUCUAUCUGUAUUUCAGGAGAUCAGGAUAGCGCAAACUGAAAGAAGAAAAGAAAACUCAGGCAAAAAAUAUUCACGAUUGCAACAAUUGAAAAUUAAGUUCAAAGAGAAAAAACCACUUAGCAGUUAGCACCAAUGGCAAAAUUGGCAAUAAACCGGUGAAAAUAGAAUUAAAAUCACAGCCCAAUGUAUUUAUUGUUAGACCUAAUACAAAGAGAGCGAAAAAAAUGCUUUUCAUACUCCCAAAAGAUCGGCUAUGUUGAAAGUGACAAACAACAAGUCUGACAAACCUCAGGCCCUUGCUAUUUACGACUAUUUAACAAUCUCGUGUCAACUGAAUAAAAAAACACAAUAACACCAAGUAAACCAUAUCAACAUAAGUAGAAAUCAAACCAGCAAUUUUCACUAAUGGGGAGUGAAGGCCACACAAAAAUAUUAUAAAAUAUUUCUAGUGUCUGUCUUUAGAAUUCCAGGUGAAUACAAAAAUGUACAACAUUUGAGGAUGAAGGUUGAUUUAAACCAAAUCUCAAGUGAAUAUCAAAUGGUUAGUUCCAAUUCUUGAGUAGGGUAAAUGAAAGAGUAAAAUCCUGAAUCUGGGUAGAUCAGGGGUACCCAUGGGCUCCAUAGUCCCAAGGAUAUGAUAAUUUAGAGCUCUAAAACAAGUCACACAAAGUGGGGGCAAGGGGGAAAAGCAUUAACUAAUGCAAAAUUCAGCCACCUCCAACAACUUCAAGGAAAAUUGGCAUUUCUUAUUACCCUCACCACCAUUCCCCACCCCUUCACUUUACGAUUUUUUUUCAAACACUUUGAAAAUCUCUUCCAUCUGCAUCAGCUCUAGAUGAAUGACAUGAUGUUGCAUAAGCCAGUUUCUUCUUUUUCACCAAAUAUGAUUUCCAGUAAACAUUUUAUUACGAAUGCAUAGACCCUUCUGGCAUCAAAACUGACAUGAGUGAUGCAAGUAUUUUACUAUGAAAAAAAAAA
rnacentral:lncRNA from 1 species